UUUGUUACUUCAAACCAAUCGGACUUCGGUCUGACAUCAAGUGAUAUUGAACAAUUUAGCUGAUCGCACGGUCUAAGAACCGGCGACGUAUCCUUCAAAUGUCUGCCUUAUCAACUCUCGAUGGUAGAUUAUGCGCCUACCAUGGUUGUAACGGGUAACGGAGAAUCAGGGUUUGAUUCCGGAGAGGGAGCCUGAGAAACGGCUACCACAUCCAAGGAAGGCAGCAGGCACGCAAAUUACCCACUCCCGGCACGGGGAGGUAGUGACGAAAAAUAACAAGCUGGUCUCAAUGAGUUCCAGCAUUGUAAUGGGAACGAUUUAAAUCUUUUAUCGAGGAUCUAUUGGAGGGCAAGUCUGGUGCCAGCAGCCGCGGUAAUUCCAGCUCCAAUAGCGUAUAUUAAAGUUGUUGCGGUUAAAAAGCUCGUAGUUGGAUCUAGGAUUAGGGCUACGGUCGUUCAGCUUGGACGUACUGUAUGCCCGACUCCUUUUCUCUAGUAUUCGAUUGUCGCUCUUAAAUGAGUGACUUUAGUUGCUGGAACUUUUACCUUGAAAAAAUUGAAGUGCUCAAAGCAGGUU
rnacentral:rRNA from 1 species